GGCAGACGGGUGAGUAACACGUGGGUAACCUGCCCUCGAGUGGGGAAUAACCCAGGGAAACUUGGGCUAAUACCGCAUGACAUCGCCUCUUCCCUGGAAGGGGUGAUUAAAGGUGGGGAUCGAGAGACCUACCGCUCGAGGAGGGGCCUGCGUCUGAUUAGCUUGUUGGUGGGGUAACGGCCUACCAAGGCGACGAUCAGUAGCCGGCCUGAGAGGGUGAUCGGCCACACUGGAACUGAGACACGGUCCAGACUCCUACGGGAGGCAGCAGUGAGGAAUCUUGCGCAAUGGGCGAAAGCCUGACGCAGCAACGCCGCGUGGGUGAUGAAGGCCUUCGGGUCGUAAAACCCUGUCAGGUGGGAAGAAAUGGUGGCGGGCCAAUACCUCGUCAUCUUGACUGUACCACCAGAGGAAGCCCCGGCUAACUCCGUGCCAGCAGCCGCGGUAAUACGGAGGGGGCCAGCGUUGUUCGGAAUCAUUGGGCGUAAAGGGCGCGCAGGCGGCCGUGCAAGUCAGUUGUGAAAUCCCCUGGCUUACCCAGGGAACUGCUUCUGAUACUGCAUGGCUUGAGUCC
rnacentral:rRNA from 1 species